UCCUUGGUGGCUCAGUUGGUAAAGAAUCUGCCUGCAAUGUAGGAGACCCAGGUUCAAUCCCUGGGUUGGGAA
rnacentral:tRNA from 1 species